UUUUUUUUUCCGUCUUAUUUUAAUGCAUUAACUGAUUUGCAUUAAAGUUCCUAUGACCAUGAUUUAUUAUCAUGUCAACAGGAUCUUAGUUUUUAUAUCAAUUGUGAUGUUUUUUGGAUUUUUUAUAUAAUGGAAAAUUCAAUUGUGCUUCACUUAUCCAGUCAUCUUGGUUUUAUCAAAGAACUGAGUGAUCGGUGGCUAUGAAGCAACAAUACUUUUGGUUUAUCAAAGAAGCAGAACAUUUUGAAGAGCUGAGCUGCUUUCGGAAGCCCUUUAUUUACAGAAAGAUUGCUUCAAUCUCUAUGUCGUUCUAUGUUUGAAGAGAUGUUGAGAUACAGUAAUCUGUUGAGCAGCAGUACUUAACUAAAGAAAAAGAAGUCUCGACAUUGUUGCUAAUUCUUUGGAUCUAAAUCAGAUCUUUCUUUCUGAUCGAGAGGUCUACAUGUCAACAUUUUGUUUCUCUGAAAUUCAUAUGUACAUUAAGAGAUAUCCUUUAGAGUUUCUGAAAGUGAAAUCGCGUUCUCUCAAUGCAUACAAACCAAUAAAACUUCUCAUCUAGUCACUUCUUAACAACGAUCAGGAUCUACUCAAUCCAUAUACGCAUCAGACUUCUGGAUCCUCUCUACACAUGAACCAGAUGUAUACGGAUGUAGCUACUGCCUGCUCAAUAACUGAAACUAAAAAGCUACAAGAUGUUACCAGUGACAUAGGCAAUGGUGAGAACUGUGAUAACCGUUCCCCUUUCUGCGAGAAACGGGGGAGGCCAUCACACCAAAGGGCGGGCGUUUGUAAUUGCCUGAUGGUGGGCGGUUACAACCGUCCGUCUUUCCCAGCAAUCAGAGGCUACAAGAAGCCUCGAUCGGUGGAGCACUUCACCACUGCCUUCUCUCUGUUCCCCUCCACCGUCUCUCUCUCACAAUCCUCCCCGGUUGGCAGGA
rnacentral:lncRNA from 1 species